CCUGAAAUCAAUUAACAAUGGGUCAAGGUCAGCGC
rnacentral:sRNA from 1 species